UACGGAGGAUGCAAGCGUUAUCCGGAAUGAUUGGGCGUAAAGCGUCCGCAGGUGGCCCUGUAAGUCUGCUGUUAAAGAGUGAGGCUUAACCUCAUAAAAGCAGUGGAAACUACACGGCUAGAGUGCGUUCGGGGCAGAGGGAAUUCCUGGUGUAGCGGUGAAAUGCGUAGAUAUCAGGAAGAACACCGGUGGCGAAAGCGCUCUGCUAGGCCGCAACUGACACUGAGGGACGAAAGCUAGGGGAGCGAAUGGG
rnacentral:rRNA from 1 species